rnacentral:rRNA from 1 species
UACGUAGGGCGCAAGCGUUGUCCGGAAUUAUUGGGCGUAAAGAGCUCGUAGGCGGUCUGUUGCGUCUGCCGUGAAAACCCGAGGCUUAACCUCGGGCCUGCGGUGGAUACGGGCAGACUAGAGGUAGGUAGGGGAGAAUGGAAUUCCCGGUGUAGCGGUGAAAUGCGCAGAUAUCGGGAGGAACACCGGUGGCGAAGGCGGUUCUCUGGGCCUUACCUGACGCUGAGGAGCGAAAGUGUGGGGAGCGAACAGG